rnacentral:ncRNA from 1 species
AGGAGCCGUAUGAGGUGAAAAUCUCACGUACGGUUCUGUAAUAGCGUGGGCACACUGAUGUUAUCAUCGACUAUGAU